UACAGAGGGUGCAAGCGUUAAUCGGAAUUACUGGGCGUAAAGAGUGCGUAGGUGGUUAAAUAAGUUAGAUGUGAAAUCCCUGGGCUUAACCUAGGAACUGCGUUUAAUACUGUUUAUCUAGAGUAUUGUAGAGGAAAGUGGAAUUUCCGGUGUAGCGGUGAAAUGCGUAGAUAUCGGAAGGAACACCAGUGGCGAAGGCGACUUUCUGGACAUAUACUGACACUGAGGUACGAAAGCGUGGGGAGCAAACAGG
rnacentral:rRNA from 1 species